rnacentral:lncRNA from 10 species
GGGCACAAAAGAUUGGUCAGACCAAGUGUGUCAUUUGCAUAAGGCGCAAAAAACUUGUUAGGACUAGGUGUACAUUUGCAUAGUGCACGGGAACGGGGCUGCCCCCACCCUAAUCUUUUAUCACGCAGACGUGUUCGCUUCCUGACCUGCGCCAUGUUGCCUGUUUCUUUACUGUACAUGUGCUGACGAAGAAAAGGGAAGAUGGAGCCUCCAUGUUGAACAUGCCUGGCCCUCAGAUGGAGUCUUGUCCUAUCGCCCAGGCUGGAGUUCAAUGGUGUGAUCUCGGCUCACUGCAACCUCCGCCUCCCGGGUUCAAGGAAUUCUCCUUCCUCAGCCUCCCGAGUACCUGGAAUUACAGGUGCACACCACCACGCCCAGCUAAUUUUUUGUAGAUUUAGUAGAGACAGUGUUUUACCAUGUUGGCCAGGCUGGUCUCAAACUCCUGACCUCGUGAUCCGCCUGCCUCAGCCUCCCAAAGUGCUAGGAUUACAGGCGUGAGUCACUGUGCCAGGCCAGUAAUUCUUUUUAAAUCAUGCUUGUUUGCUACAUAACUUGUCAGAAAUUGGUUAACUCAACCUAAGGAGUACGCUACCCUUAUUACUAUCCCCCUAAAAAGAAAAUCUGACAAAAGUGAGAUUUUUUUUCUGAAGUUGUGAAUUAUUUUAUGUACUUCAAGGCUUGAUAAUUUAUCCAUAAGUGUAUCAUCAUAAGGUUUGCUAUGAAGAAAGCCAUCAUUCUACCAUCAAAAUACAUUUAUGAAGAUGAAGUGAGAUUGGCAAAGAGAAAACUGAAUGUCCCUGAAUAAAACCUCUGUAUCUGGAUAAUUACGUUUCUGUGAAUCAUUUUUGAGAAGUUUGUACAUUUCAAGAUUUCAUUUUGGAACUGAAAUGAAAAUGAAAGAAUCUGUUCUUAUAAGAUUUGCAGAAAUUCUUCUGACUGAAAUGGUCUAGAUGGCUGAUACAAGUACAUGAACUUUUUCACUUUUUCAUAAAGCCUCUUCUGCCUCCGUUACUUUGCCAGCCAUCUACCUUGCAGCUGUUAUGUCUGACUUCAUUCUUGAUUUCUCCCACCUGAUUUCUUUCUUUCUUUCUUUUUUUUAAGUCCACUUUAUUUCUCUUGCUAAUCACACUCCUCUCCUUUCUCCUGGAGGUAAUCAUGAUCUGACUUUUAUGUUAAUCAUUCUCACUUUUUCUUUUCUUUCUUCUUCUUUUUUUUUUCAGUUAUACUUUGAGUUCUGGGAUACAUGUGCAAAACGUGCUGGUUUGUUACAUAGGUAUACAUGUGCCAUGGUGGUUUGCUGCACCCAUCAACCCGUCAUCUACAUUAGGUAUUUCUUCUAAUGCUAUCCCUCCCCUACCCCACAACCCCUGCUUUCUUAUUACAAACUUUUGUGUCUGACUUCACCAAAGUAUGAGCUUUUUACUCAUUUCUCAACGUAUUGCAAACAUGGAGGCCAAAACCCUCUUUUGAUUAACGUAACCUCUUUUCAAGAUUUCCAAUAUUCGAGCUUCCUCCUCUCUAACCUGAUCAAACUCUAUUUACAUCUUCUUUCCUAGUUGAUCUGAUUACAGUAGAGACUUAAUUUUUAAAAAUUAUGUCUGAGUAAAACUAGUGUUAUCUAUCAGUAGGCAUUAUAAUACAAAAGUGCUGGGAAGCACUUUAAAUAAUGCCGAAGGGAGGAAGGGAAGUGCUGGGUAGAGGAGAGUGUGGUCCCUGGCUAAGGCUCCACCCCCACAGACCUAAGUGAAGACAGACACUCCUGCCUUCCCACUCAAAUGUUACAUUUCCCAAGACCACCCUGGCUCACCACACCCCCAUCCUGGGCCUAUAAAAACCCGAGAUCCUAGCAGGCAGGCACAGAGGUGGCCAGACAUCCAGAGGAGCACAUCCGCAGAAGAAAAAGCAAGGGGAUGUGGAGAGGAGCAUGUCAGCAGUCACCUGCUCACCAGCGAGCCAUCGACCAGCAGAACAACGCGAAGUUGGGCCGGGGCAGUGGAGGAGAGCCCGAGCCGCCAGCGGCCCGACUCCAGGUGAAAACCAUUUCCCUUCUGGCUCCCCGCUCUGCUGAGAGCUAUUUGCACUCAAUAAAACCUUGCACUCAUUCUCCCAUCCCACAUAUGAUCCGAUUCUUCCUGUACACCAGAGCGAAAGCCCUGGGAUACAGAAGUACCUCUGUGCUUGUGAUAAGGAAAGGGCUGUAAUUGAGCUGGUUAACACAAGCCGCCUAUAGAUGGCAAACUAAGAGAGCGCCCCGUAACACGCGCCCACUGGGGCUUCAGCUCUAAAUAUUCACACCUAGACACUGCCAUGGGGUCGGAGCCCCACAGCCUGCCCUUCUGUAUGCUCCCCUAGAGGUUUGAGCAGUGGGGCACUGAAGAAGCGAGCUCCCAUCGCACGUCCUGCGAGAGGGACAAGGGAAACUUUCCCGUUUCAAUUAUUGUAUAUCACUCACUUCUUUUGCUCAUUUCUAUUUUUGAAAUAAUUUUCCAUGUAUCUGGCAGAGUUUUGUGAGGACGUUAGUUUACUGAAAACUAUUUUGUGUAAUAUAUUGUUGACUUGGGAAAGUUUGUUUAUCGGGCUUAUUUCUGGGAGCAGAUCAAAAUUUUAGUGGAAUGUCGUGUAUAUGCUCUUUGAGCACUGGGAAAGAAUGUGUGUUCAGCUGUUAUUGAGUAGAGUGUUCUAAAAAUAUGAAUUAGCUCAAGUUGGUUGACAGUUUUAUUCAGGUCAUCUACAUUCUUAUUGGCCUAAUACUCAUUUGUUCUGUCAAAUACUGAGGAAAGGUAUUGCAGUUGCCAACCAUAAAUUUAUCAAUUUGCCUUUCCAAAUCCAUUUUUGUCACGUGUGUUUUGAAAUUCUAUUGUUAGAUACACUUACGUUUAGAAUUACUAUAUCUUUUUGAAAAACUAUCCCUUUUAUCAGUAUGUAAUGACUCUCUUUAUCCCUGAUCAUAUUUUUUUUCUGAAAUUUAUUUUUUCUGAUACUAAUAUAACUAUAUCUGUUCUCGGAGUUAGUGUUUGUAUGGUAUAUUCCUUUUACAGCCUUUAGUUUUUAGCCUAUGUUUUUAUAUUUGGAGUGAGUUUUGUUAAAAAAAAAAAGCUUAUGUUUUUAUCAGUUUAUAUGGUAUUCAGCAGCUUGUGUUCCAAGUAAAUAGUUUGUUUCUAUUCAGGUAUCUGUCCCAUUCUGAAUUUGAGGUUAGUUGUUUGCCAUGUGACUCCAGUUUUUUGAUGGAUUCAAGGAAUAUUAUUAAACGUGCUUUGACCCACUUUUUUCUGGUUAUGAAGGUAUAAGUUAUGAUACAUAUAUAUACAAUUUAUGUGGCUUUUUAUUUUUUGUAGGUAUUUCAGUACAGUGUUAAUUACGGUGAUACUAAACAUCUUUAUAUUCUUUUCUCAUUUCAAGGAGUAAGCUUUAAAUAUUUCUUCAUAAGCUGGAAAGCCUUUUCCUAUUUAUUUUCUAGAAGAGUUUGUGUAAAUUGGUGUUAGUUAUCCCUUCCUUAAAUAAUUAGUGGAACUCAAUGAUACAGUUUUCUGUGUCUAGAUUUUUUUUAGUGUGUGUAAAUAUUUAUUAUUAAGUGUAUAAUUAAGUUAAUAAAUACAAAACUAUUUUCAUUGUAGUUCUUUUGAAUGGAUUUUGUGGUGUUUUCUAGAAAGACUGUCAUUUCAUUUAAAAUUCAUUUCAUUUGAAAAUAAUUUUUCAUAAUAUCCUACAACUUUCUGAUUAAUACCUAAAAAAUGUAUAAUGGUGAUACUUUUUUCUUUUUUUCUUUCCUGAUAUUAAUUUCUGCCUUUCUCUUUCUUAUCAUAUUUGCCACUGGUUUAUUAAUUUCAUUCUUUUUUUAAAAAACAACUUUGGGCUUUGUUGAUACUUAUUUUACAUUUGUAUUAUAGUUUAUUGUUAUUUUUAUACUUAUUUCCAUAGUUUUGUGGGAAACAGGUGGUAUUUGGUUACAUGAGUACAAUUUAGUAUGUUUUGCUAUUUUCUUUGUUAUUUAAUAUUUUCUAAUACCUUUAGUUUUUGAGAUCAAUACACUCCUCAAUAUAUUAGUUUUCAGCCAUUCAUUUUCACAAAUUUGUUUAUGGAUGUAAAUUUUCCUCUAAACACUUGAUUUGUAGCAUUGUAUAGGUAUUGAUAUAACAUUUUUUCAUUAUCUUUCAAUUAAUAUAUUGUCUAAUUCUAAUUGUUAUUGAUUCUUUAGACCAUGGAUUAUUUAUAAAUGUGUUGUUAACUUUCCUAAUAAUUACGGAUUUCUUGUUAUUUUCUUACCCAUUUCUAUGUGCUUUCAGGAGUAGAGACAGACAAUUAUCUGUAAGCUUUUUAUUCUUUGAAAUUUGAUGAGAUUAGAUUUAGGUUCUAGAACCUAUAUAUGUUCUAGGAUUAUUUGGAGAUAUGUUUCACAUGAAUAUGAAAAGAAAUUGCUAUGCACAGUGUUUUAUAAAUGGCAAUUCAAUAAAAACUUUUACUUUUUAAAAAAAUCUUCUAUAUCCUUACUGAAUUCUUAAUAUAUUUUCUCUAAGUUACUGAGAAAAAUGUGUUAAAUCUCAUUUGCUGUUGUUGAUUUUUCUAUUUCUCCUCAUCCUAUAAAGUGUUGCUUUUUAUAUUUAGCAGUAUGUUUACAGGGCUAUAGUACAAUUG